rnacentral:rRNA from 1 species
AGAGUUUGAUCAUGGCUCAGAUUGAACGCUGGCGGCAGGCCUAACACAUGCAAGUCGAACGGUAACAGGAAACAGCUUGCUGUUUCGCUGACGAGUGGCGGACGGGUGAGUAAUGUCUGGGAAACUGCCUGAUGGAGGGGGAUAACUACUGGAAACGGUAGCUAAUACCGCAUAACGUCGCAAGACCAAAGAGGGGGACCUUCGGGCCUCUUGCCAUCGGAUGUGCCCAGAUGGGAUUAGCUAGUAGGUGGGGUAACGGCUCACCUAGGCGACGAUCCCUAGCUGGUCUGAGAGGAUGACCAGCCUCACUGGAACUGAGACACGGUCCAGACUCCUACGGGAGGCAGCAGUGGGGAAUAUUGCACAAUGGGCGCAAGCCUGAUGCAGCCAUGCCGCGUGUAUGAAGAAGGCCUUCGGGUUGUAAAGUACUUUCAGCGGGGAGGAAGGGAGUAAAGUUAAUACCUUUGCUCAUUGACGUUACCCGCAGAAGAAGCACCGGCUAACUCCGUGCCAGCAGCCGCGGUAAUACGGAGGGUGCAAGCGUUAAUCGGAAUUACUGGGCGUAAAGCGCACGCAGGCGGUUUGUUAAGUCAGAUGUGAAAUCCCCGGGCUCAACCUGGGAACUGCAUCUGAUACUGGCAAGCUUGAGUCUCGUAGAGGGGGGUAGAAUUCCAGGUGUAGCGGUGGAAUGCGUAGAGAUCUGGAGGAAUACCGGUGGCGAAGGCGGCCCCCUGGACGAAGACUGACGCUCAGGUGCGAAAGCGUGGGGAGCAAACAGGAUUAGAUACCCUGGUAGUCCACGCCGUAAACGAUGUCGACUUGGAGGUUGUGCCCUUGAGGCGUGGCUUCCGGAGCUAACGCGUUAAGUCGACCGCCUGGGGAGUACGGCCGCAAGGUUAAAACUCAAAUGAAUUGACGGGGGCCCGCACAAGCGGUGGAGCAUGUGGUUUAAUUCGAUGCAACGCGAAGAACCUUACCUGGUCUUGACAUCCACGGAAGUUUUCAGAGAUGAGAAUGUGCCUUCGGGAACCGUGAGACAGGUGCUGCAUGGCUGUCGUCAGCUCGUGUUGUGAAAUGUUGGGUUAAGUCCCGCAACGAGCGCAACCCUUAUCCUUUGUUGCCAGCGGUCCGGCCGGGAACUCAAAGGAGACUGCCAGUGAUAAACUGGAGGAAGGUGGGGAUGACGUCAAGUCAUCAUGGCCCUUACGACCAGGGCUACACACGUGCUACAAUGGCGCAUACAAAGAGAAGCGACCUCGCGAGAGCAAGCGGACCUCAUAAAGUGCGUCGUAGUCCGGAUUGGAGUCUGCAACUCGACUCCAUGAAGUCGGAAUCGCUAGUAAUCGUGGAUCAGAAUGCCACGGUGAAUACGUUCCCGGGCCUUGUACACACCGCCCGUCACACCAUGGGAGUGGGUUGCAAAAGAAGUAGGUAGCUUAACCUUCGGGAGGGCGCUUACCACUUUGUGAUUCAUGACUGGGGUGAAGUCGUAACAAGGUAACCGUAGAGGAACCUGCGGUUG